rnacentral:rRNA from 1 species
UACGUAGGGUGCGAGCGUUAAUCGGAAUUACUGGGCGUAAAGGGCGCGUAGGCGGCCCGCUAAGUCGAACGUGAAAUCCCUGGGCUCAACCCAGGAACUGCGUCCGAUACUGGCAGGCUUGAAUCCGGGAGAGGGAUGCGGAAUUCCAGGUGUAGCGGUGAAAUGCGUAGAUAUCUGGAGGAACACCGGUGGCGAAGGCGGCAUCCUGGACCGGCAUUGACGCUGAGGCGCGAAAGCCAGGGGAGCAAACGGG